CCUACGGGGAGGCAGCAGUGGGGGAAUAUUGCACAAUGGGCGCAAGCCUGAUGCAGCCAUGCCGCGUGUGUGAAGAAGGACCUUCGGGUUGUAAAGCACUUUCAGUCGUGAGGAAGGUAGUGUAGUUAAUAGCUGCAGUAUUUGACGUUAGCGACAGAAGAAGCACCGGCUAACUCCGUGCCAGCAGCCGCGGUAAUACGGAGGGUGCGAGCGUUAAUCGGAAUUACUGGGCGUAAAGCGCAUGCAGGUGGUUUGUUAAGUCAGAUGUGAAAGCCCGGGGCUCAACCUCGGAAUAGCAUUUGAAACUGGCAGACUAGAGUACUGUAGAGGGGGGUAGGAAUUUCAGGUGUAGCGGUGAAAUGCGUAGAGAUCUGAAGGAAUACCGGUGGCGAAGGCGGCCCCCUGGACAGAUACUGACACUCAGAUGCGAAAGCGUGGGGAGCAAACAGGAUUAGAUACCCUGGUAG
rnacentral:rRNA from 1 species